ACCGAAGCUGCGGCAGCGACACUAUGUGUUGUUGGGUAGGGGAGCGUUCUGUAAGCCUGCGAAGGUGUGCUGUGAGGCAUGCUGGAGGUAUCAGAAGUGCGAAUGCUGACAUAAGUAACGAUAAAGCGGGUGAAAAGCCCGCUCGCCGGAAGACCAAGGGUUCCUGUCCAACGUUAAUCGGGGCAGGGUGAGUCGACCCCUAAGGCGAGGCCGAAAGGCGUAGUCGAUGGGAAACAGGUUAAUAUUCCUGUACUUGGUGUUACUGCGAAGGGGGGACGGAGAAGGCUAUGUUAGCCGGGCGACGGUUGUCCCGGUUUAAGCAUGUAGGCUGAUUGUCCAGGCAAAUCCGGAUAAUCAAGGCUGAGGUGUGAUGACGAGGCACUACGGUGCUGAAGUAACAAAUGCCCUGCUUCCAGGAAAAGCCUCUAAGCAUCAGGUAACAUCAAAUCGUACCCCAAACCGACACAGGUGGUCAGGUAGAGAAUACCAAGGCGCUUGAGAGAACUCGGGUGAAGGAACUAGGCAAAAUGGUGCCGUAACUUCGGGAGAAGGCACGCUGGUGUGUAGGUGAAGUCCCUGCGGAUGGAGCUGAGACCAGUCGAAGAUACCAGCUGGCUGCAACUGUUUAUUAAAAACACAGCACUGUGCAAACACGAAAGUGGACGUAUACGGUGUGACGCCUGCCCG
rnacentral:rRNA from 1 species